rnacentral:rRNA from 1 species
AUACGGAGGGUCCGAGCGUUAUCCGGAAUCAUUGGGUUUAAAGGGUCCGUAGGCGGGAAUCUAAGUCAGUGGUGAAAUCUUGCAGCUCAACUGUAAAAUUGCCAUUGAUACUGGAUUUCUUGAAUUAGUGUGAAGUGGUUAGAAUGUGUAGUGUAGCGGUGAAAUGCAUAGAUAUUACACAGAAUACCAAUUGCGAAGGCAGAUCACUAACACUAUAUUGACGCUGGGGGACGAAAGCGUGGGGAGCGAACAGGAUUAGAAACCCGAGUAGUCC